rnacentral:lncRNA from 1 species
AUUGUUAAUGCCCUUGUGGCUGUCAUUACUCUCCUUGGAAUUCUAGAGGAGCUUAAAUGGAAGGGGAGGCUGGAGCCAGCCUGGUGCAGAACUUUGACAGUUCGUAUUUUGUCCCAGGGAUCACUUCUUGGGGGAUUAUGGUAUUUGCGCUAAGAGACAAAGUGGACAGAGAGCCAUCUUUAGAGACCUACAGAUCUGGGAUCAAGUUCUGUCUUUGGUAUCACUGGGUGACCCGAGUGCCAACUCUAAUAAUGGGGAAGACAAUAUAGAAACAACUGUGUAGAAACAAGAUAUAUACGGAGUAAACUGGAGGGCAUCUUAGAGGGAAAGCGCCAGCAGUGAGGGGGCCUGGGAUAAGACAAGUCAUCUGGGAAGGCCCCUUUGUUCAAGAGUUCCCUGAUCCACCUGCCCCUACAACACAAGCCACGGCACCUCAGCGGGGAACUAGCCACCUCUGGCAAGACCCUGGGAGUCGUCACUCUUCCCAGGUUAGGAAGAGUGAUCACGAAGCCAAGAGCAACCCUCAGACAGGAGGGCUGAUGGAGGGUUUUCACAUGGAGGAAUUCUGAGGGAGUCUCAGGCAAGAACUAGAGAAGGGAAGGGAGGAGUGGCAGAGAGCCAUGGCAGCCCAGUGUCUGGGAGAUCCACACGGCCCUUCUUCAAAACCAUAAGAAAUGAC